rnacentral:rRNA from 1 species
UGGGGAAUAUUGCACAAUGGGCGAAAGCCUGAUGCAGCGACGCCGCGUGAGGGAUGACGGCCUUCGGGUUGUAAACCUCUUUCAGUAGGGACGAAGCGCAAGUGACGGUACCUGCAGAAGAAGCACCGGCUAACUACGUGCCAGCAGCCGCGGUAAUACGUAGGGUGCGAGCGUUGUCCGGAAUUACUGGGCGUAAAGAGCUCGUAGGCGGUUUGUCACGUCGUCUGUGAAAUCCCAGGGCUUAACCCUGGACGUGCAGGCGAUACGGGCUGACUUGAGUACUACAGGGGAGACUGGAAUUUCUGGUGUAGCGGUGGAAUGCACAGAUAUCAGGAAGAACACCGAUGGCGAAGGCAGGUCUCUGGGUAGUAACUGACGCUGAGGAGCGAAAGCAUGGGUAGCGAACAGG